GGAGGAUUCGGAAUCGCUCUUUGUCGGUGAUGACCCCUCCGCCUCCACCCCACGGUACCAGGAGGCGAAGCAGGUGAAGACCAGAGGUCCUGACAUGGGGCUGCCCGUGCUGGCCCCGACGGACUCGCUGGUCCAGAAGGAGGAGGGACAAGGGCUGCCCCAGAUCCUGCCGACCACCAUCGCACCGCGGAUCCCGUCACUCCGUCUGGCCGCCCUGAAUGUGCCCCUCGCUGGCGACAUGAGCGGGAUCCGAGGUGCCGACCUGCAGUGCUACCGGC